ensembl:lncRNA
GGAGAGAGCAGACUCCUGCGGGUGCGAGUGGAGCACACACGGUCCAGGAGAGAAGGAGGUGGUGUUUGGGACUCAGCGGAGCCCGCCGCAGAGCAGGCAGAAGCCUGCACGGGGAUGGGCGGGACUUCCGCCCAAUGCCCCUGUGGUAACUGGUGUGUAUCAGUGCCCAGGGCAUGUUUGUCACCAGGGAGCACUUACGGUGACCCGGGUGUGUGUGCGCAUGCACGUGCGUGUCUGUAGCUUAGGAAGCGUGUGCCCUUUGUACACUGGGCACGGAAUCAAGGCCUCGCCAGCUGUUGACUCUGCUUCUUGCAAGAAUGGCAGUGCCGUCUGUCCUCUGCUUGCACCCAUGUGAGCAGUGGGGAAGUGAACAGGCGAGGGAUUUGCCUCUCCCGAGCGAGGUAUGAGGCGGUGGCGGUGCUGGGACCCGGAGCCCGGUGGCCCAGCUGCAGGAGUUUUACAGUCCCAGGUCUUCUGUGAGGGCCUUGACCCACUCGUGAUGCCUCUCGUGCAGGGUAGGGCUUCACUGUCUUCUGCACAUGGACAUCCAGUUGCUCCGAGCCAUUUACUGAGGGCACUGCAUGUUCCUGGCUUCCUUGAAAAUCAAGUGAUUGUCAAUAGGUGGAUUUACCUCCGGGCUCUGUUCUUUGGUUUUGGCGUAUGUGUCUGUUUUCAUGCUGAUGCCGUGCUGAUAAGGGGCUAAUGUCCAAAAUGUGGAGCGAACUCCAAAAUUCAGUCUCUCAAAAUGAUCAGAAAAUAAUCCAACUGAAAAUGAGCCAAGUUUCUAGAUGGAUAUUUCUUGAAAGAAGGCAUAGAAAUGGCCAACGUGAAAAGUGCUCAACAUCAUAAGCCUCGGAUAACUGCAAAUCAGAACCACUCUAGCUAGAGGAAGGUAGGAGGCAGCCAGGGCUGCUGGGGAGGUGGAGGAAGGAACCCUGUGCAUGCUGGAGGGAGGGGUCAGUGCACCCUGUGGACCGCAGAGGCCCCAGCGCGAAAACAGCUGCCGUGUGAUCCAGCAGCCCUCGACUGGGCCCGCUGCGGAGCCAGGGUGUGAGCUCGGGUGUCAGGACAUCUGCAGGGCUCACAACAGCCACAGGGGGCAUCAGCCCGCGUGCGCCAAGCAGGAGAGGCACAGUCUGUGUGGCACGCGGGCAGUGUGGGCGCAGUGCAGGACGUGGCGUUCUUGGAAUGCGUCUGGACCAGAUGGACGGAGACAGCGUCACCUCACUCCCACGAGGCGUCGUGGGAGUUGACACUGGCAGGAGAGAGUAGAGCGAUGCUACCAGGCAGAGAGCGGGAGGGUCAGAAGGAAGAAGGGACCCCCCGUCCAGGUGUUGGCAGCAGACGAUGGGCCUUCCCCCGAGCUGCACGGCCUGGUGCCUGGCCAUGACUGGUGGGCCCUGUGCCUGCCCAGGCCUGGGUGUCCUGGCUCCCUCUGUGACAGCCG